rnacentral:rRNA from 1 species
UACGUAGGGGGCAAGCGUUGUCCGGAAUCAUUGGGCGUAAAGAGCGUGUAGGCGGCUCGAUAAGUCUGCUGUGAAGGUCCAGGGCUCAACCCUGGAAGGCCGGUGGAAACUGUCGGGCUAGAGUUCGGAAGAGGCGAGUGGAAUUCCCGGUGUAGCGGUGAAAUGCGCAGAUAUCGGGAGGAACACCAAUGGCGAAGGCAGCUCGCUGGGACGUUACUGACGCUGAGACGCGAAAGCGUGGGGGAGCAAACAGG